AUGGCCAAAUCGAACAACAUAGCAAGAGCUCUUCUCAACAUUCUGGUCGUGUCUGGCCUCAUUGCCGGAUUCUCGCCGGCGCGUGUCACGCAUGAGACCGGACAUUUUUGCUACAUUGAAGAGAUCGAUGGUCCCUCGAAAAAUUACUGCCAAGAAUCGAACACCCAGUAUCCAUGCAACCCCAACAAAGGCUACUACGGCCGCGGCCCCCUCCAGAUAUCCUGGAACUACAACUACGGACCCGCAGGGGAAAGCAUCGGGUUCGAUGGCCUCAACUCUCCCGAAACCGUCGCCAACAACGCCGUCGUGUCUUUUAAGACCGCCUUCUGGUUUUGGAUGAACAACGUCCACUCCGUUAUUACUUCCGGUCAAGGCUUCGCACGACGAUUCGAGCCAUUAACGGAAUGGAGUGCGGCAGCGGAAACCCGCCGCAGUUCAAGCUCGGGUUCAAUAUUACACUGAUUACUGCAACCGAUUUGGUGUCUCUCCCGGAGAUAACCUGACUUGUUAGAUGGCAUAGAAAACCAGCUUAUUUUUAUGGCAUUGUAGCCAACCUCGGUUAGCACCAUGACCAUAUUCGAUUUACAUUAAUGUACGCAACUUAAUAAUGGAUCCAAAAAAUAAAAGGAA